rnacentral:rRNA from 1 species
ACGAACGCUGGCGGCAUGCCUAACACAUGCAAGUCGAACGAGACCUUCGGGUCUAGUGGCGCACGGGUGCGUAACGCGUGGGAACCUGCCCUUAGGUUCGGAAUAACUCCCCGAAAGGGGUGCUAAUACCGGAUAAUGUCUUCGGACCAAAGAUUUAUCGCCUUUGGAUGGGCCCGCGUUGGAUUAGCUAGUUGGUAGGGCAAAAGCCUACCAAGGCGACGAUCCAUAGCUGGUCUGAGAGGAUGAUCAGCCACACUGGGACUGAGACACGGCCCAGACUCCUACGGGAGGCAGCAGUGGGGAAUAUUGGACAAUGGGCGAAAGCCUGAUCCAGCAAUGCCGCGUGAGUGAUGAAGGCCUUAGGGUUGUAAAGCUCUUUUACCCGGGAUGAUAAUGACAGUACCGGGAGAAUAAGCUCCGGCUAACUCCGUG